CUGCCUCCCCCGCUCGCUGCGCCCUUCCUCACGACCAACCGCCGCAGCUCCCCCGCGCACCUCCCCCACGCACGUCCUUCCAUAGCAAGUCCGUGCCAUCAGCUCGCGGCUGCCUCUCUGCACGCGUCACGGCCGCCUCUCUGCGCUCGCUGCCGUCGUGACCGUCAGACGCACGCCAGGCUCGCCCAUGCUCGGGUCAGUCCGUUCCAUCGCCGCGCUCACCCACGCCUUCACGCCGCCGCACCAUCUAGAGAGCGCCACCGGUUACCAUCCACGCCUGCACAGGCACUCUGCUGCGAGGUAAAACCGCCCCGCCCCCUUUCCCGUGUCCUCGCCCGCCUGCGUCCCCACUCGACUCCUCGCCGCCCUAGCUCUGAUGGUUGACGCGAGGCCACGGUGAGGCGCGUGGCCUCUGGGCGUCAGGAGGCCGCGACGAACGGGGCCGCCCUCGCUGCCGGCGCGGUGCGCAGGCUGCACAAUCCCUUUCUUCCUCUAAUCCCCAAGGCAAUGAACGGAGCGGAUAGGAAACAGGGUCUUGUUUCCCUGCUUUUUGAGAUGUCGUCCUCGAGCAUGCGUCACGAGAUGGACCUCUUGAAGCUAUGAGGAUCUGUUUUCCAAUUUUCCUUAACAUGUCCUGGCUGUUUGAUCUAGCCAUUCUUGCAGGCUUUCUUGGUCUCUUGUGUAGCAGGAUUAUAGGUGGAGACAGUGAGUGACGGGAUGAAGGAAUUCUUUGCUUAAUUCAAGGGGCUAGCGGAAAGUAAUAACCCUCGCACUGAAUCUUGAUUUCUUCCCUCUCUACCUCCGAGCUGAUGAUCUACGCCCCUGUUUCUGAUCUAGAUGUGGGGGAAGUUUAGUUUCAGAAAAACUGCCAAUCUAGAUGGUUGUCGAGUCAUAGUUUAUCGUAGGAUUUUGCCUAAUGAAUUUGUACUCAAUCUGGUAUGUAUCUACCAAGGUGGUGUCUGAAAGGUUAGGGUAGAACCUCCUAAUGCAUAACCCUAUAAAUUCCAGUCCAUUGGCUUCAUAAAUAAGAUUUAUCACCCAAAUGUAUAUUGCCCCCACAUUUGUGUUCAUAGUUCUUGAGUCAUGACUGUUACUAUUUUCUGUAUUUCACAAGACACUCAUUGUCAUAAAAGAGUAAACAAUAAAGCAUUUCAUUCUGUAGACACCCAACUGUGGAUGUAGGCACUCUUCACAGAAAGUUGGGGAUCAUGGACAAAUAAAUACCUAAAUCUUAGCAAUAUUCCUUUCGCAGUAAGAAUUAUCCAUAAUUGUUAUUGUUUUUGUGUUUCCAGUCUCGUUUAAGCUGGAAGAGGUCAGGUUUUCUGAUAAUUGUAGGAUCCAGUAACCAAUCUUUCUUUGUAGCAUGUGCAAGAGGAGCCACCUUUAUUACUAUGAUGCCCAGCACAGAGAGCUGAGUUUAAGACCUCAGUUCAGGCAAGUACAUCGGCACCAGUAUUGCAUCAGUUCAACAUAUUUCCUGGCACUGUGGGAUCCAUCGGCUACUUUCAGAUUUUCUGGCACUCUGGGAUCCAUAGAGAAGCACAACUCAUAGAAGCGUACUCAGCAGAUUUGAGAAGAUGCAAAAAAAAAUCAUGUGACUGCAUCCUGCCACCGCUGCUUUGUCAGAGAAGGCUUCAGUUUGAAAAAAAAGAGGCAAACUAAGAGCUGCCCCUUCUUACUGCAAUAGCAGGAGAUCAUCGUCAGCCUCCAUGCCCAUCCUCAGAAACAGGUACCGAGGUACGUACGUGCACAUGUGUGGUAUGGUGAUUACUGAUUACUCCUCCUGCAGCACAAGUGCAAUUUGAUAAUCCUCUUCAGUACUACUAGACCUACGAACGAGUAGUAUACCAUGGUAACAACAAACUCCUCAAUUAGUAGUAUACUGCAAAUAUAUGAAUGAAUGCCUGUCUUGGCACUCUCCUCUUUUUAAUAUAGCAGGCAGCUCUUCUGCCGGUUUGUUUCAAAAAAAUAUAUAAAUGAACUACUAUAUGAUUUGAUAUGCCUCAAAGGCGAAGAGUGUUUAAAUGUAAUAACCCUGCAGAAAUACUUCAUUUUUUCUUAUUUUUGAUGAAGGAACAUAUGCCUCGUCGAUAAUGACGUGUGCAGAUUGGAACUCAAGGUGGAGAGUUCUAAUUGGUUGAA